rnacentral:rRNA from 1 species
GACGAACGUUGGCGGCGUGCUUAAUACAUGCAAGUCAACUGAAUCAGUGGUAGCAAUAUCGCUGUGGAGGUGGCGCACGGGUGAGUAACACGUAGGUAAUCUGCCUUCAGGUCUGGCAUAACUCCGGGAAACCGGGACUAAUAGCAGAUGAUGCAGCGGCUCGACAUCGAGACAGUUGUUAAAGCUAUGGCGCCUGAAGAUGAGCCUGCGUCUGAUUAGCUAGUUGGCGGGGUAACGGCCCACCAAGGCAACGAUCAGUAGCUGGUCUGAGAGGAUGAUCAGCCAGACUGGAACUGAGACACGGUCCAGAAUCCUACGGGAGGCAGCAGGAAGGAAUAUUGCUCAAUGGGAGAAAUCCUGAAGCAGCAACGGCGCGUGAGGGACGAAGGGCUUUUGCUUGUAAACCUCUGUAGUGAGAGAAAAAAAUCCCAAUCUGUGGGACAUGAUGGUAUCUCAAAAGUAAGCCCCGGCUAACUACGUG